rnacentral:rRNA from 1 species
CACAUGGGUACCUGCCCCGAGGUGAGGAAUACCGGCGAGAAAUCGCCGACAAUACCGCAUACGUUUCGCAAGAAACAAAGCCCGCAAGGGCGCCUUGGGAUGGGCCUGUGGCCGAUUAGCUUGUUGGUGAGGUAAGAGCUCACCAAGGCCACGAUCGGUAGCUGGUCUGAGAGGAUGGUCAGCCACACUGGGAUUGAGAACGGCCCAGACUCCUACGGGAGGCAGCAGUGGGGAAUCUUAGACAAUGGGCGCAAGCCUGAUCUAGCCAUGCCGCGUGUGUGAUGAAGGUCUUAGGAUCGU